AUUGAACGCUGGCGGCAUGCUUUACACAUGCAAGUCGAACGGCAGCGCGGGCUUCGGCCUGGCGGCGAGUGGCGAACGGGUGAGUAAUGCAUCGGAACGUGCCCAGUAGUGGGGGAUAGCCCGGCGAAAGCCGGAUUAAUACCGCAUACGACCUGAGGGUGAAAGCGGGGGAACGAAAAGACAUGCGAUAUUGGAGCAGCCGAUGUCGGAUUAGCUAGUUGGUGGGGUAAAGGCUUACCAAGGCGACGAUCCGUAGCUGGUCUGAGAGGACGACCAGCCACACUGGGACUGAGACACGGCCCAGACUCCUACGGGAGGCAGCAGUGGGGAAUUUUGGACAAUGGGGGCAACCCUGAUCCAGCCAUGCCGCGUGCGGGAAGAAGGCCUUCGGGUUGUAAACCGCUUUUGUUCGGGAAGAAAUCCUCUGGGCUAAUACCCCGGGGGGAUGACGGUACCGGAAGAAUAAGCACCGGCUAACUACGUG
rnacentral:rRNA from 1 species